UAUGCUAAAUUAUGUAUACGUUCAAAUUCUAAUAGAUAAAAGCAUAUGUAUUGUCAUUUUAAUAGCAUGUAUAGUUUUUUUUUUUUAGAUUUUAUUGCAUUGAUUGUUUCAAAAUUGCCGCCCAAAACAGCCUGGCACCUUCCUUUUCGACCCUUCCUUUCCUGUUUCUUGAUUGAAGUUUUCCAUGCUUCAUAAAUACAUGAACUUAUAAGAUCACCUUUCCAAGAUAUCUCAUACCACGACACAUCCCGACACCCGCACAAAACCGUAUCACUCUCCAAACCACCUUCACGUUGCCGAAGUUCAGUCGCAGUCACCGGAGAAACCCGCAAGACGCCAUAACCAUCGGAGACCGAGAAGACGACGGAGAUACCCUCAUCGGAGAUAUACGGGUUGCCACGGACCGUUCCUGCCAACUGCCGAGUUCGAAACGUCGGUAGAAUUACUGCAACUUCGCCGGAGAUAAAGAAGACGUCGCCGGGAAGCUCAAGUAUUGCCGGAGGUCGGAACCGACGCCGGAGACGACCGAAGCCACGACGAGAAUCACACAUCGUCAUUCGUAUUUGAAGAUCUAGGAUAACCGUUUCGUUCGUCCCCUUGGGUUCUCAAUCUUAUUCGCGCUUACCUACAAGAAAUUCUUAUACGCAAUCAAUGUUAAUCGUUGAGGUGAUACUUCAAGAUGAAACGCGAUUUAGGGUGGACUAGAUACACACCUAGAUUAAUCUAUCUUUUAUUGUUAUGUUUUGUUAUGAAACAAUGUUGUUAUUUCUAUUUGAACCUUG